rnacentral:rRNA from 1 species
AUUGAACGCUGGCGGCAGGCUUAACACAUGCAAGUCGAACGGUAACAGGACGCUAGGAUUUCUUCGGAAUGACUUUGUUGCUGACGAGUGGCGGACGGGUGAGUAACGCGUGGGAAAUUACCAUAUAGUGGGGGAUAAGCCAGAGAAAUUUGGUCUAAUACCGCAUAAUCUCUACGGAGGAAAGUGGGGGCUCUUUUGACCUCAUGCUAUUUGAUGUGCCCGCGUAAGAUUAGCUAGUUGGUGGGGUAAAGGCCUACCAAGGCGACGAUCUUUAGCUGGUCUGAGAGGAUGACCAGCCACACUGGGACUGAGACACGGCCCAGACUCCUACGGGAGGCAGCAGUGGGGAAUAUUGCACAAUGGAGGAAACUCUGAUGCAGCCAUGCCGCGUGUGUGAAGAAGGCUCUAGGGUUGUAAAGCACUUUAAGUUGUGAGGAAAGGUUAGUAGUUAAUACCUGCUAGCUGUGACGUUAGCAACAGAAUAAGCACCGGCUAAUUUAGUGCCAGCAGCCGCGGUAAUACUAAAGGUGCAAGCGUUAAUCGGAAUUACUGGGCGUAAAGCGCGCGUAGGUGGUUUGUUAAGUUAGAUGUGAAAGCCCAGGGCUUAACCUUGGAACUGCAUCUGAUACUGGCAGGCUAGAGUGUAGUAGAGGGAGGUAGAAUUUCAGGUGUAGCGGUGAAAUGCGUAGAGAUCUGAAGGAAUACCGGUGGCGAAGGCGGCCUCCUGGACUACACUGACACUGAAGUGCGAAAGCGUGGUAGCGAACGGGAUUAGAUACCCCGGUAGUCCACGCCGUAAACGAUGUCUACUAGCCGUUGGGGGGUUUAACCCUUUAGUGCGCAGCUACGCAU